CAGAAAGUAGUUUAAGGAAAAUUUAGGUUUUGGAAAUCUACGAUGCCUAUAGGUCUUUCUGA
rnacentral:tRNA from 1 species